UACGGAGGGGGCCCGCGUUUUUCUUCCUUCCUUUUCUUCCCUUUCUCUCAUUCUUCUUCUCAAUUCUUUUUUGAAAUCCUGGAGCUCAACUCCAGAACUGCCUUUGAUACUGGCGAUCUCGAGUCCGGGAGAGGUGAGUGGAACUGCGAGUGUAGAGGUGAAAUUCGUAGAUAUCAGGAGGAACACCCGUAGCGAAGGCGGCACUCUGGGCCGGAACUGACGCUGAGGAGCGAAAGCGUGGGGAGCGAACAGG
rnacentral:rRNA from 1 species